UACGUAGGGUGCGAGCGUUGUCCGGAAUCACUGGGCGUAAAGGGCGCGUAGGCGGGGAGGUAAGUCGGGUGUGAAAUCCCUCGGCCCAACCGAGGAACUGCGCCCGAGACUGCUUCUCUUGAGUCCCGGAGAGGAAGGUGGAAUUCCCGGUGUAGCGGUGAAAUGUGUAGAGAUCGGGAGGAACACCGGUGGCGAAGGCGGCAUUCUGGACCGACAUUGACGCUGAGGAGCGAAAGCCAGGGGAGCAAACGGG
rnacentral:rRNA from 1 species